rnacentral:rRNA from 1 species
CCUACGGGAGGCAGCAGUCGGGAAUAUUGCGCAAUGGAGGAAACUCUGACGCAGUGACGCCGCGUAUAGGAAGAAGGUUUUCGGAUUGUAAACUAUUGUCGUUAGGGAAGAGAAAGGACGGUACCUAAGGAGGAAGCCCCGGCUAACUAUGUGCCAGCAGCCGCGGUAAU